GUCUACGGCCAUGCCACCCUGAACGCCCCGGAUCUCGUCUGAUCUCGGAAGCUAAGCAGGGUCGGGCUUGGUUAGUACUUGCAUGGGAGAAAUCCUGUCCUCAAGCUGCGGUUCAGAAAUCUUGUCCUGAGGCU
rnacentral:rRNA from 1 species